rnacentral:ncRNA from 1 species
ACAUAUCCCUGAGAAGCCAGCGGGAGCCCUGGGGAGAGUUCUCUUUUCUUUGUGAAGGGCAGGGCACCAUGGAAUGGGUUCGCCCUGAGAGAGGGGCCAGUGCCUUGGAAAGCGUCGCGGUUCCGGUGGCAUCCGGUGAGCUCUCGCUGGCCCUUGAAUAUCCAGG